AACUGCAAAAAUCAGGCCUUCUGUACAAGCUGUGGUGGGUUGAACUUGGCUGACUGUCCAGGUGCUCACUCAGCUGCUCUCACUCCCCCUCUUAAAAAGGACAAAGGAGAAAAUAAGAUGAAAAAGCUCAUGGGGUUAAGAUAAAGACAGGGAGAGAUCACUUACCAAUUACCAUCACAGGCAAAACAGGCUUGACUUGAGGAAAAUACAUGUAAUUAAUUGCUAAUUAAAAUAGAUUUGGAUAGUGAGAAACAAAGUCAAUUUAAAACAAUACCUUUGCCCUGGCAUCUACCCAUGCUCAAAUCCAUUUUUUCAUUGCUGUCUCCUUUACCCAUCCUAUGCCCAGAGCUGCACAUGGGGGAGCAGGAGAGGAGGAUUAGGCUUAGUCCAUCUCUGCUCCUCUCUGCUGCUCCCUCCUCACACUUUUUCCCCAUUCCAGUGUGAGCCCUUCCCAUGGGCUGUAGUGCUUCAAAAAUUGCUCCAACAUGGGCUCUUUGUGGGCCACAGUUCCUGUCAGGACAGCCUGCUUUGGUGUGGUGUCCUCCAUGGGCUGCAGUGUGGAUGUCUGCUCUGGUGUGGGCCUCUCCUUGGCUGCAUGAGGGGUUCUCUGCACUGGUGCCUGGAGUAUCUCUACCUCCUUCUCUUCCCUCAUUAUUCCCAGACUGUUUCUUACACCUUUUUUCUCAUUCCUCACUCUCUUCUGCACCAUUUUGCUCUUUCUUAAACAUGUUUUCACAGAGGCGCCACCACCUUUGCUGAUGGGCUCAGGUAUGUCUUGCGGUGGGCCCACUGCAGAGCCGGCUGGACUCAGUUGUGUCUGGCAUCUCCUCCCAGAGACCGGUCUGCAGCCCUCGCUGCAGCACCUUCCUAUAGGCACCUGACACACAGCCAUGACAAAAAAUAGUUCAAAGAAAGUUUCAUAAAAUAUUAUGGAGAGAACUCAAAGGUCAUCACAGAUGACCUCCAGAGUGACCAAUCUCAUCAGAAAUCAGUUAUGCUGACUUUGAUUGAAAGCAAUGAGAAAAGUUCAAGAUGUUUUAUGACUUGUGUGAUUGAGGCAAAGAAUCACGGACAGAGGAGGAUUUCAAAGUAGAUCACUCCUUGAGGUGCAAGCUGUCACUACAGCUUACAUUAUACCUUCAAGCAUGGAUUCUGCUCUGCAAGCCAAACAUGUAGAAGGGACUCAAAGCAUGCUUGAAAUUACUUACCUGACUGCACUUCGUGUGAAGAACUCUAUCCUCUCAGCUGUUUUAGAUUAACAGUGAAUUACAGUUCACUUCAAUGCAAUUAGACCUAAUGAGGUGCGUAUGGAGGCUAUUGGGCCACCAUGUAACCACAUUAUAUGGACUUGCUAGUUGCCAUUUUAAUCAAUUGGUUUGACCUUUGAAUGCAAAGUACUACAAAGCACAAAGAAGUUCAUGGCCCAGAUACCUAUUUAUUCAAAUGCAGAGAGAGAUGAUAAAAAAUAGCCUUUGCUCAGGAAAACUGUUUCUCUGGGUAAUCUAAAAAAGAAAUCCUGUUUGCAAAAGGCUGCUUAAAAUGAUUGGUCAUACCAUAAGUGCAGUUGAAAUAUUGUCAUCACUAUUUUACUGUCUCUUCUAUGACUUGAUUUUAAACUUGUCUUGCAUCAUUGGCUAUUUAGGAACCAAGGCUAAAUUUCAAGAAACAAUUCCAUUUUAUCACAUUGCGUUGUGGUAAUGAAAAUCAAACACAACCUCAUGUGAGAUUGUUGGAAGUAGGAAGACUUCAACUAAGGCAGCUUUGUUUACCUGUGCGUGUGCCAGAUUCUAAUUUACAGAAUUGAAUUUUCAUACGAAGUUGUUGUUCAGGGCGGGGAGUUAAAUGUAGAGUUAAAGCUGUGAGAGAUGAUGUUUUGUUUCUCAGGGAAACUUUCUGAGCAUAGCAAAAUGAAAAGCAGUAGGACUAUUUCUACAGGUUUUACAUAGAUAUAAAUCUGUUGCUCCCUACAUAAUUAUAGCUCUUCCAUUAGUUUGUUCCCUGUUUUGCUUCUUGCUGGCAGGCAGCUAAGUACCACAAAGUCCCUGGAUGUGUUUUGUGUUUGUCUUAAUGGAGAAUAUUAAAAAAGAAGUUUGGUGCUUCUUAGAAAUUCAAAGUGAUUUUUAAGUUAAUUAGAAAUAUAUUUAUAUAAGUUGCCAUGAGGUCUUGCCUUGUCUUUAUACCACAUAAUAUAGAUCAGCCUAAAAUGUUUUGUAAACGUACCUACCCAAUAUUUCUGCUGUUAAAACGUUCCUAAGUAUGGACUUCUGUCUUUGAGAGCAAAUAUUUGCAAGUAAUGGCUAAAAUAAUUCUUAUCAGUCACUUCAAGGAGAAAUCUCCUUGGAAUGUUUGAAAAUUAGUGUCUUACAACUUUCAGGAUAGCUUUUGAACCACACCUCCUGAGAGGACAUGAGUCAGAUGUGUGACCUAACAGGAAUUGAGAUAUGAAUUCCUGGUUAUGAGUCAUACUAAGGAACAAUGUCUUGAUCUUUCCUUGAAACUACAAGGAUGUAAGCUUCCUUCUUCCUAUUGUGCUUAGCUUCUAAACGAGAAAUAUUUUGUACUUUAAUUUAAGUAAUAUCACAAGAAAUCAUGCUUUAUUCUAACUGCAUGUAAGGUGACAAGGUAAUUAAGUGAAAUAACAAACAUUUUAUAGAAGACUCCAAAUUAGAUAGGAGUCUCUUUAUCUCCAUAUAUGUAUACACAUAUAAGUAGUGUUAAAAGCUGUCUUAUACUCACCUAAAUGUGUUCAAACCCUUUUUCUGUCUCUAACAUGUUAAUGAUUUCGCAUUUCCAAAAUAAAUACCUAAAUACAUGGAAAA